AGGUCAUCACUGCUAGGCCGUGUAGGUCAUCACUGCUAGGCCGUAUAGGUCAUCACUGCUAGGCCGUGUAGGUCAUCAGUGCUAGGCCGUAUAGGUCAUCACUGCUAGGCCGUAUAGGUCAUCACUGCUAGGCCGUGUAGGUCAUCACUGCUAGGCCGUAUAGGUCAUCACUGCUAGGCCGUAUAGGUCAUCACUGCUAGGCCGUAUAGGUCAUCACUGCUAGGCCGUAUAGGUCAUCACUGCUAGGCCGUGUAGGUCAUCACUGCUAGGCCGUAUAGGUCAUCACUGCUAGGCCGUGUAGGUCAUCACUGCUAGGCCGUAUAGGUCAUCACUGCUAGGACGUGUAGGUCAUCUCUGUUAGGCCGUGUAGGUCAUCACUGUUAGGCCGUGUAGGUCAUCUCUGUUAGGCCGUAUAUCACUGCUAGACCGUGUAGGUCAUCUCUGCUGACCUCAACACAUAGUCAUGUGGUUCUGGUCUGGGUGAUACCGGCCUCAAGACUAAAUAUUUACCAUCUAAAAAUAGGAGUACAGCCCUGAAAACAGAUGUACUCAACAACUCAGAAUAGACACAUUGAUGUAGUUUCUAUCUUUGAAGUCUCUGUCCAUCUCUGACCCAUCACCACUUCACUCUUCAUCUCAUCUCUGAUCCAUCACCACUUCACUCUUCAUCUCAUCUCUGACCCAUCACCACUUCACUCUUCAU